CCCUCUACGUAGCUCCUUCGACGAGUCGAGUUGUUUGGGAAUGCAGCUCUAAAUGGGAGGUAAAUUUCUUCUAAAGCUAAAUACCGGCCAGAGACCGAUAGCGCACAAGUAGAGUGAUCGAAAGAUGAAAAGCACUUUGGAAAGAGAGUUAAACAGCACGUGAAAUUGUUGAAAGGGAAGCGCUUGCAACCAGACUUGUCCGCGGUGUUCCGCCGGUCUUCUGACCGGUCUACUCGCCGCGGGCAGGCCAUCAUCGUCUGGGGCCGCCGGAG
rnacentral:ncRNA from 1 species